rnacentral:rRNA from 1 species
GAAAUAAGAUUUUAAAUGAGUGCUAAGAGAAUGAUUAAACAAUUAAAAGCUUUCUUUAAUUAAAAAAUUAAAUUUAAUUUUUUAGUGCAAAAGCAAAAAUAAAAUUUAGGGACAAGAAGACCCUAUGAAUUUUUAUUGUUAAUAAUUAAAAUUUAAGUUAUUAAUAAUUUAAUUGGGGCGAUAAAAAAAGAAUAAGUAUCUUUUUAGUUAUAAAAUAAGUUCCGUUUUUAGCGAUUAAAUGAAAUAAAUACUCUAGGGAUAACAGCGUAGUAAUUUUGGAUAGUUCAUAUAGAUAAAAUAGUUUGCGACCUCGAUGUUGGAUUAGGAUUCUU